UUUGGUUAAGUUAGAAAGGGCGCACGGUGGAUGCCUUGACACUAGGAGUCGAUGAAGGACGGGACUAACGCCGAUAUGCUUCGGGGAGCUGUAAGUAAGCUUUGAUCCGAAGAUUUCCGAAUGGGGAAACCCACCAUACGUAAUGGUAUGGUAUCCUUAUCUGAAUACAUAGGGUAAGGAAGACAGACCCAGGGAACUGAAACAUCUAAGUACCUGGAGGAAGAGAAAGCAAAUGCGAUUUCCUGAGUAGCGGCGAGCGAAACGGAACAUAGCCCAAACCAAGAGGCUUGCCUCUUGGGGUUGUAGGACAUUCUAUACGGAGUUACAAAGGAACGAGGUAGACGAAGCGACCUGGAAAGGUCCGUCGUAGAGGGUAACAACCCCGUAGUCGAAACUUCGUUCUCUCUUGAAUGUAUCCUGAGUACGGCGGAACACGUGAAAUUCCGUCGGAAUCUGGGAGGACCAUCUCCCAAGGCUAAAUACUCCCUAGUGAUCGAUAGUGAACCAGUACCGUGAGGGAAAGGUGAAAAGCACCCCGGAAGGGGAGUGAAAGAGAUCCUGAAACCGUGUGCCUACAAAUAGUCAGAGCCCGUUAAUGGGUGAUGGUGUGCCUUUUGUAGAAUGAACCGGCGAGUUACGAUCCCGUGCGAGGUUAAGCUGAAGAGGCGGAGCCGCAGCGAAAGCGAGUCUGAAUAGGGCGUUUAGUACGUGGUCGUAGACCCGAAACCAGGUGAUCUACCCAUGUCCAGGGUGAAGUUCAGGUAACACUGAAUGGAGGCCCGAACCCACGCACGUUGAAAAGUGCGGGGAUGAGGUGUGGGUAGCGGAGAAAUUCCAAUCGAACCUGGAGAUAGCUGGUUCUCCCCGAAAUAGCUUUAGGGCUAGCCUUAAGUGUAAGAGUCUUGGAGGUAGAGCACUGAUUGGACUAGGGGUCCUCAUCGGAUUACCGAAUUCAGUCAAACUCCGAAUGCCAAUGACUUAUCCUUAGGAGUCAGACUGCGAGUGAUAAGAUCCGUAGUCAAAAGGGAAACAGCCCAGACCGCCAGCUAAGGUCCCAAAGUGUGUAUUAAGUGGAAAAGGAUGUGGAGUUGCUUAGACAACUAGGAUGUUGGCUUAGAAGCAGCCACCAUUUAAAGAGUGCGUAAUAGCUCACUAGUCGAGUGACUCUGCGCCGAAAAUGUACCGGGGCUAAAUACACCACCGAAGCUGCGGAUUGAUACCAAUGGUAUCAGUGGUAGGGGAGCGUUCUAAGGACAGUGAAGUCAGACCGGAAGGACUGGUGGAGUGCUUAGAAGUGAGAAUGCCGGUAUGAGUAGCGAAAGACGGGUGAGAAUCCCGUCCACCGAAUGCCUAAGGUUUCCUGAGGAAGGCUCGUCCGCUCAGGGUUAGUCAGGACCUAAGCCGAGGCCGACAGGCGUAGGCGAUGGACAACAGGUUGAUAUUCCUGUACCACCUCUUUAUCGUUUGAGCAAUGGAGGGACGCAGAAGGAUAGAAGAAGCGUGCGAUUGGUUGUGCACGUCCAAGCAGUUAGGCUGAUAAGUAGGCAAAUCCGCUUAUCGUGAAGGCUGAGCUGUGAUGGGGAAGCUCCUUAUGGAGCGAAGUCUUUGAUUCCCCGCUGCCAAGAAAAGCUUCUAGCGAGAUAAAAGGUGCCUGUACCGCAAACCGACACAGGUAGGCGAGGAGAGAAUCCUAAGGUGUGCGAGAGAACUCUGGUUAAGGAACUCGGCAAAAUGACCCCGUAACUUCGGGAGAAGGGGUGCUUUCUUAACGGAAAGCCGCAGUGAAUAGGCCCAAGCGACUGUUUAGCAAAAACACAGCUCUCUGCGAAGCCGUAAGGCGAAGUAUAGGGGGUGACACCUGCCCGGUGCUGGAAGGUUAAGGAGAGGGGUUAGCGUAAGCGAAGCUCUGAACUGAAGCCCCAGUAAACGGCGGCCGUAACUAUAACGGUCCUAAGGUAGCGAAAUUCCUUGUCGGGUAAGUUCCGACCCGCACGAAAGGUGUAACGAUUUGGGCACUGUCUCAACCAGAGACUCGGUGAAAUUAUAGUACCUGUGAAGAUGCAGGUUACCCGCGACAGGACGGAAAGACCCCGUGGAGCUUUACUGUAGCCUGAUAUUGAAUUUUGGUACAGUUUGUACAGGAUAGGCGGGAGCCUUUGAAACCGGAGCGCUAGCUUCGGUGGAGGCGCUGGUGGGAUACCGCCCUGACUGUAUUGAAAUUCUAACCUACGGGUCUUAUCGACCCGGGAGACAGUGUCAGGUGGGCAGUUUGACUGGGGCGGUCGCCUCCUAAAGUGUAACGGAGGCGCCCAAAGGUUCCCUCAGAAUGGUUGGAAAUCAUUCGUAGAGUGCAAAGGCAUAAGGGAGCUUGACUGCGAGACCUACAAGUCGAGCAGGGACGAAAGUCGGGCUUAGUGAUCCGGUGGUUCCGCAUGGAAGGGCCAUCGCUCAACGGAUAAAAGCUACCCCGGGGAUAACAGGCUUAUCUCCCCCAAGAGUCCACAUCGACGGGGAGGUUUGGCACCUCGAUGUCGGCUCAUCGCAUCCUGGGGCUGUAGUCGGUCCCAAGGGUUGGGCUGUUCGCCCAUUAAAGCGGUACGCGAGCUGGGUUCAGAACGUCGUGAGACAGUUCGGUCCCUAUCCGUCGUGGGCGUAGGAAAUUUGAGAGGAGCUGUCCUUAGUACGAGAGGACCGGGAUGGACGCACCGCUGGUGUACCAGUUGUUCUGCCAAGGGCAUAGCUGGGUAGCUAUGUGCGGAAGGGAUAAGUGCUGAAAGCAUCUAAGCAUGAAGCCCCCCUCAAGAUGAGAUUUCCCAUAGCGUAAGCUAGUAAGAUCCCUGAAAGAUGAUCAGGUUGAUAGGUUCGAGGUGGAAGCAUGGUGACAUGUGGAGCUGACGAAUACUAAUAGAUCGAGGACUUAACCAUAUAA
rnacentral:rRNA from 6 species